rnacentral:rRNA from 1 species
AGUGAACGCUGGCGGUAGGCCUAACACACGCAAGUCGAACGGCAGCACAGGAGAGCUUGCUCUCUGGGUGGCGAGUGGCGGACGGGUGAGGAAUACAUGGGAAUCUACUCUGUCGUGGGGGAUAACGGAGGGAAACUUACGCUAAUACCGCAUACGACCUACGGGUGAAAGCAGGGGACCCGCGGGCCUUGCGCGAUUGAAUGAGCCGAUGUCGGAUUAGCUAGUUGGCGGGGUAAAGGCCCACCAAGGCGACGAUCCGUAGCUGGUCUGAGAGGAUGAUCAGCCACACUGGAACUGAGACACGGUCCAGACUCCUACGGGAGGCAGCAGUGGGGAAUAUUGGACAAUGGGCGCAAGCCUGAUCCAGCCAUACCGCGUGGGUGAAGAAGGCCUUCGGGUCGUAAAGCCCUUUUGUUGGGAAAGAAAUCCAGCUGGCUAAUACCCGGUUGGGAUGACGGUACCCAAAGAAUAAGCACCGGCUAACUUCGUGCCAGCCGCCGCCGUAA